rnacentral:rRNA from 1 species
AUUGAACGCUGGCGGCAGGCUUAACACAUGCAAGUCGAGCGGAGAGAGGUAGCUUGCUACUGAUCUUAGCGGCGGACGGGUGAGUAAUGCUUAGGAAUCUGCCUAUUAGUGGGGGACAACAUUUCGAAAGGAAUGCUAAUACCGCAUACGUCCUACGGGAGAAAGCAGGGGAUCUUCGGACCUUGCGCUAAUAGAUGAGCCUAAGUCGGAUUAGCUAGUUGGUGGGGUAAAGGCCUACCAAGGCGACGAUCUGUAGCGGGUCUGAGAGGAUGAUCCGCCACACUGGGACUAGGACACGGCCCAGACGCCUACGGGAGGCAGCAGUGGGGAAUAUUGGACAAUGGGCGCAAGCCUGAUCCAGCCAUGCCGCGUGUGUGAAGAAGGCCUUAUGGUUGUAAAGCACUUUAAGCGAGGAGGAGGCUACUUUAGUUAAUACCUAGAGAUAGUGGACGUUACUCGCAGAAUAAGCACCGGCUAACUCUGUGCCAGCCGCCGCCGUAACAC